AGAACGAACGCUGGCGGCAGGCUUAACACAUGCAAGUCGAACGCCCCGCAAGGGGAGUGGCAGACGGGUGAGUAACGCGUGGGAAUCUACCUAGAACUUCGGAACAACUGAGGGAAACUUCAGCUAAUACCGGAUACGCCCUAUGGGGGAAAGAUUUAUCGGUUCUAGAUGAGCCCGCGUUGGAUUAGCUAGUUGGUGGGGUAAUGGCCUACCAAGGCGACGAUCCAUAGCUGGUCUGAGAGGAUGAUCAGCCACACUGGGACUGAGACACGGCCCAGACUCCUACGGGAGGCAGCAGUGGGGAAUAUUGGACAAUGGGCGAAAGCCUGAUCCAGCCAUGCCGCGUGAGUGAUGAAGGCCUUAGGGUUGUAAAGCUCUUUCAGUAGGGAAGAUAAUGACGGUACCUACAGAAGAACGCCCCGGCUAACUUCGUGCCAGCAGCCGC
rnacentral:rRNA from 1 species